CAGCCGCCACGGGAAUACAGAGGGUGCGAGCGUUAAUCGGAUUUACUGGGCGUAAAGCGUGCGUAGGCGGCUUCUUAAGUCGGAUGUGAAAUCCCUGAGCUUAACUUAGGAAUUGCAUUCGAUACUGGGAAGCUAGAGUAUGGGAGAGGAUGGUAGAAUUCCAGGUGUAGCGGUGAAAUGCGUAGAGAUCUGGAGGAAUACCGAUGGCGAAGGCAGCCAUCUGGCCUAAUACUGACGCUGAGGUACGAAAGCAUGGGGAGCAAACAGGAUUAGAUACCGGGUAGUCCCUGUCUCUUAUACA
rnacentral:rRNA from 1 species